AGGAGCGAUACUUACAGAUUGAUUACAUUUUACAAUGAAAGAUGCGUGAAAUAAAUUCGAGCGGAACAAUGGAGUUCUUGCGCAGUCGUCGCGUGACGUCAUAUGACGUCAGGUAUAGGCUGCGUUCAGAAAUAUCAUCCAUCAUGCACACGGGUGAUGUUUCCAAACGCAGCCAUACUCGCAUGCGCACCUAUUAUUGAUAGUUCGUAGAUAGACCGUUUACCUACGCUCACCUUUUGUCACUUUGUGCGGAGGUAUGAAAUGCGAUACUGCACGAUAUAAUUCCGAACACGCCGCGUUGAUUGCGCGACUGGCGGGCAACUUCAAGUUUAUAAAUAAUUUUGUUUGUAAAUAAAAUGAGACGAAGCGUAAAAAAUGCGCUAACAUAAAAUUCCAUCAAUACGAUUUUCCGGACGAUUCCAACGAACAGGGAUUUAAUUUAAGACUUGGCAACAACUGCUGUGGUAAGUUCUGCAAAUUAUACGGCAAACAGAUAAUCACAUUUGCAGCCUUUUGAGAUGCUAAUGCCAAUAAAUCAUGUAUUGUCGGCACAACCACUGCAGUUCCAUCAGUUCUAGUGCCUUUUUGCUUGUAAUUGAUAAACCCACCAACAUUGCUAAUAGGUGCAGCUGCAUAUACUCCAUUUAAUUGUGAGAUGUCUUGUUGUGAAAUUAUCUAUAACAUUUAAUAUUUAAUAAUUAUAUUACGUAAAUAUAUAA